AUUAUUAUUUAUGUUUUCUUUUUUUCAGAUGGAUUCCCUUUUUAAACUGCUUGAGAAGCACAGACUGGAGGCUUUCUAUAAAAAGUUAUUAGAGUUUGGUGUUAAAGAUGAAAAAGACCUCCUAGACAGCAUAACGGAUGAAAACCUCACUGACCUUGGAUUUAGUCAAGCUGAACGCAAUCGCUUUGCCUCCAUGCAAACCACUAUUAGGAGGUUCAGAGCUCCGGUUGAAACAACUGCAAUGCCAGUCCAAAAAAGUAUGAAGUCAUUUUCACUGAAGUACACAUACCCAAAAUGUCCUGAUCCAAAAUGCAUCUCAGAUAUGGAUCCAGCCCAAAAUACAGUUGAAGAUUUGAUGUUAAGGAUCUGUCACCUUGAGCAUGUUGGUAAAGCCUCAGGUGUCUGUCUGUACACAGUGGAUGGAAUGCCUCUGACAGACGAUCCCUUUUUCAACACAUGGUCUUUACAAGACAGACACAUUAAAGAUGGAGAUGUAAUCUAUGCCAUAUUUACACCAAAGAAGAACUUGGAAAUACUUCCUCCAAACAUAGUGCAAGCAGUAAUUGAAACGCAUGGAGAUGACACAGUUCGCUGUCAUGUGAUGCUUAAGGGAGACUUUGAGGUGACAGUGAACCUGGUUAGUGACACGUUAAAAAUUCUGAGAAACAAACUUUCAAAUGAAAGUGGAAUCCCAGCUCACGUUCUUCACUACAGGGGAGAUGCUGGAGUUGGUGUCACUUUAGCAAGCUGUGGAAUCUCAGCUGAUUCAACUGUUUUCUUCUCAUUGUCCUCAUUUCCUGAGGAAGUAAUUCCUUCCAAAGAAGUGUUUAUGGAUGAUGUUCAGCCCUCAGUCCAACAAACCCCAAAGGGAAUCAGCUGUUUCCUGUCAUCUCUCUGUGUCAUCGUAAGUCUUCUAUUGUUUGUUCAUUUUGUGCAUACUCGCAUACAUGUGCAUUAAUUAUUUAGUUUUUUGUUUAUGAAUUACUUUCAACACA
rnacentral:lncRNA from 1 species